rnacentral:rRNA from 1 species
GAUGAACGCUGGCGGCGUGCCUAAUACAUGCAAGUCGAGCGAACAGACGAGGAGCUUGCUCCUUUGACGUUAGCGGCGGACGGGUGAGUAACACGUAGGUAACCUACCUAUAAGACUGGGAUAACUUCAGGAAACCGGAGCUAAUUCCGGAUAAUAUUUCGAACCGCAUGGUUCGAUAGUGAAAGAUGGCUUUGCUAUCACUUAUAGAUGGACCUGCGCCGUAUUAGCUAGUUGGUAAGGUAACGGCUUACCAAGGCAACGAUACGUAGCCGACCUGGGAGGGUGAUCGGCCACACUGGAACUGAGACACGGUCCAGACUCCUACGGGAGGCAGCAGUAGGGAAUCUUCCGCAAUGGGCGAAAGCCUGACGGAGCAACGCCGCGUGAGUGAUGAAGGUCUUCGGAUCGUAAAACUCUGUUAUUAGGGAAGAACAAACGUGUAAGUAACUGUGCACGUCUUGACGGUACCUAAUCAGAAAGCCACGGCUAACUACGUG